CGCGAACGCUGGCGGCGUGCCUAACACAUGCAAGUCGUGCGGAGGGGUGAUGAGCCCCUCAGCGGCAAACGGGUGAGUAACACGUGAGUAACCUGCCCCUGGGAAGGGGAUAACCCUCCGAAAGGGGGGCUAAUACCCUAUAUAGCCGGGGACCACUAAGGUCACCCGGUGAAAGGUGGCCUCCGUCCUUCACGGGCAUGCUACCGCCCAGGGAGGGGCUCGCGGCCCAUCAGGUAGUUGGUGGGGUAACGGCCUACCAAGCCUAUGACGGGUAGCCGGCCUGAGAGGGUGGCCGGCCACAGUGGGACUGAGACACGGCCCACACCCCUACGGGGGGCAGCAGUGGGGAAUCGUGGGCAAUGGGCGAAAGCCUGACCCCGCGACGCCGCGUGGGGGAUGAAGCCCUUCGGGGUGUAAACCCCUGUCGGGGGGGACGAUGUGUCCUGGGGUGAAUAAUCUCAGGGCAUGACGGUACCCCCAGAGGAAGGGACGGCUAACUACGUGCCAGCAGCCGCGGUAAUACGUAGGUCCCGAGCGUUGCGCGAAUUCACUGGGCGUAAAGCGUCCGCAGCUCGGACGGGUAAGCGGUGCGUCAAAGCUCACCGCUCAACGGUGG
rnacentral:rRNA from 1 species